UGGAGUGCAGUGGCGCGAUCUCGGCUCACUGCAAGCUCCUCCUCCCAGGUUCACACCAUUCUCCUGCCUCAGCCUCCCGAGUAGCUAGGACUACAGGCGCCAGCUACCACGCCUGUCUAAUUUUCUGUAUUUUUAGUAAAGACGGGGUUUCACCUUGUUAGCCAGGAUGGUCUCGAUCUCCUGACCUCAUGAUCCGGCUGCCUCGGCCUCCCAAAGUGCUGGGAUUACAGACGUGAGCCACCGCACCCGGCCUCAUUUUUGUAUUUUUAGUAGAGACGGGGUUUCACCAUGUUGGUCAGGCUGGUCUCGAACUCCUGACCUCAUCCACCCGCCUUGGCCUCCCAAAGUGCUGGGAUUACAGGCGUCAGCCACCACGCCUGGCCUCUCUCUCUCUUUUUAAAUUAUUUUUUUGUAGAGACAGGAUCUCAUCUCUCUAUGUUGGCCAGGCUGGUCUCAAACUCGUGGCCUCAGGCAACCCUCCCUUCUCAGCCUCGCAAAGCGCUGGGAUUUGGGAUUACAGGCAGGAGCAACAGUGCCCAGACUUAAGUUAUUGUUUUUCAUGCCCAUAUAUCUCAGAGAUAGCUACUAAACUAUUUAUGGUAAAGUAAUACAAUGUAUAUUAUUUGCUUUAAAAUAUUCUAGCAAAAAAAAGAGUGGAGGGGAACAGAUGAAAUAAGGUGAGCCAAACGUUGGGUGUUGAGGCUGGAUCAAGAAUGUUUGAGCACUCACUAUGUUAUUUCCUUUAUCAGGGGCAUUUUUGAAAUUUUCCAAAAUAAAAAAAAAAUUAAAUUUUAUCCCACAUUUAAAUGUAUGCAACUGGCGUAAACUACAUUAAAAUCUCAGGAAUUUUGACGAACGGAAAUGAGGCCAGAGUAGGAGGAACACAGCAGAGAGGGAGGUUUGGUGGCAAAGACGAUGGAUGCGCUGAGUUUGAAAGAUGUCAAGUCGAAGCGCCUGUGAGAGGCGCGGGGAGAGUCGCCGGGCAGGGAGUUUGGCAGCAGCGUCUGGCGUUCAGGAAAGGGGAUGAGGCCACAGGCUGACGCCGGAAGCCACGGGCCUGUGGAUGGCGGCUGCAGCUUUGGGAAGGGUGGGCAGUGUGAAAAGGAAGGUCAGGGCCCUGGCAAAGCCUCGAGGAGGAAAAGCUGACAAAGAAAAGCUCAACUAAGGGCCGGGCGUGGAGCCUCACGACUGUAAUCCACGCCCUUUGGGAGGCCGAGGCGGGUGGAUCACCUAAGGUCCAGAGUUUGAGACCAGCCUGCCCAAAAUGGUGAAACCCUGUUGCUCUACUAAAAAUACAAAAAUUAGCCGGGUGUGGUGGCGGACGCCUGUAAUCCCAGCUACUCGGGAGACUGAGGCAGGAGAAUCGCUUGAACCCAGGAGGCGGAGGUUGCAGUGAACCGAGAUGGCACCACAGCCCUCCUGCCUGGACGACAGAGCGAGACGUUGUCUCAAAAAAUUUUUUUUAAAAAGUCAGCUACAGCCUGGAGAGCAACCAAGAAGAGUAAGAAAAAAUGGUGUCAUCAAAGUUUAGGGACGUGAGUGUUUCAAGAAAGAAAUAAACCCAAAUUGUCAGAUAGGGUUGGUCAAAAUAAAGACUUGAAAUGGGCCUUGGAGAAUUCUUCUGUUUUUGAAACACAUACUGAAAUAUUUUGGGAUAAAUGAUAUGCUAUCUGGAGUUUUCAUUAAACUUAUCCAGGGUGAGGUGAGAGGGAGCAGGUGGAGAUGGUGGCAACAAGAUUGGCUGUGAGUUGUGACUGUGGACACCGGGCAUGGAACACGUGGGAAUUCACUGCACUGUUCCUUCCACCUAUAGGUAUGUUUGAAAUUUCCCAUAAUGAAGUUCUUUUUUUAUGUUUCUAUAACAAUCAGUAGCCUGUGGAUUUCUCAUCACGGAAACCACCAGUAACCUCUGCGUGGGUAGUUUGGGUGGCCUAUGGAGGCAGAGGCCAGGCUGAACGGAUGAAGGAGUAAGUAGAGGUCAGGUUCUCAAGACAGUGAGGAAGGCAACAGACAACUUGUUCAAGAAAUUUAACUCUGGAGGGGAGAAGGGGCAAGGAAGUAGACAGGGGAGGAUGUGAGGUUGAAAGAUGGUAUUUUAUUUUUCACACUGGAGAGACUAGAACUUGGUUAUAGCCUGAUAAGGCGAGCCAGCAGACAGGAAAGUUUUUGAAAAAGGAGGGAGCCCGAGAAAGUAGGAAGCGAUGGGAGGGAGGUUCCAGAAGAAGAAACUGGCCUUAAAUUUGAUAACAGCUCUUCCUCUGGUACAGAAGAAAGUGGUCAAGGAGGCCGAGGUGGAAGGAUAGGUUGAGACCAGGAGUUUGAGACCAGCCUGCACCAUAGCAAGACACUGUCUCUACACAAGCAAAAUACAAACUGGUUUUGCGUGAUGUAGUUCCAGCUACUUGGGAGGCUGAGGUGGGAGGAUUCCUUGAGCCCAGGAGUUUGAGGCUGCAGUGAGCUAUGAUUGCACCACUGCACUCCAGCCUGGGUGAAAGAGGGAGACCCUGUCUCAAAAAAAAAAGAAAGAAAGAAAGUGAGUGAGGGCACAGGUAGUCAAAGGUGAGUGAUGGGGCAUACUCCUGGCAGAUGGCUUUUCUUUUCCCUCUUGACUGGAUGGUGAGGACAUCCACUAAGAGUGGAAGUGAGGCCGGCCAUGGUGGCUCAUGCCUGUAAUCCCAACACUUUGGGAGGCCAAGGCAGAUGAAUCACUUGAGGUCAGGAGUUCGAGACCAGCCUAGCCAGCAUAGUGAAACCUCAUCUCUACUAAAAAUACAAAAAUUAGCUGGGUGUGGUGGCACACGCCUGUAAUCCCAGCUACUUGGGAGGCUGAGGCAUGAGAAUCGCUUAGACCCAGGAGGUGGAGGUUGCAGCGAACCGAGAUCACACCACUGCACUCCAGCCUGGGUGACGGAGGGAGACUCCAUCUCAAAAAAAAAAAAUGGAGUAGAGGCAAAGAGGCCUGAGGCCAGAAACAGUGGAGCCAGGUGUGGUGGCACAGGCCUGUAGUCCCAGUGACUCAGGAGGCCAACGUGAGAGGAUCACUUGAGCCCAGGAGUUUGCAACCAGCCUGAGCAACAUGAUGAGACUGUCUCUACAAAUUUUUUUUUUUUUUUUAUGGAGUCUUGCUCUGUCGCCCAGGCUGGAGUGUAAUGGCAUGAUCUUGGCUCACUGCAACCUCCGCCUCCCAGGUUCAAGAGAUUUUCCUGCCUCAGCUUCCCGAGUAGCUGAGAUUACAGGCACCUGCCACCACGCCCAGCCAAUUUUUGUAUUUUUAGUAGAGAUGGGGUUUCACCAUGUGGACCAGGCUGGUCUCAAACUCCCAACCUCAUGAUCCACCCACCGCGGCCUCCCAAAAUGCUGGGAUUACAGGCGUGAGCCACCACGCCUGGCCAAGAAAUUUUUUUAAACUACCCACGUGUGGUGGUGCAUACCUGUGGUCCCAGCCAGUCAGAAAGCUGAGGUGAGAGGAUUGCUUGAGCCCAGGAAUUCAAGGUUUCAGUGAGCUAUGAUCGGGUUACUGCACACUCCAGCCUAGGCAACAGAACAAGACCUUGUCAAAAAAACAAAAAACAAAAAACAAACAAACAAAAAAAAACAGCCCAGGCAUGGUGGCUCACGCCUGUAAUCCCAACACUUCGGGAGGCUGAGAUGGGAGGCUCACUUGAGGCCAGGUAUGGUGGCACACACCUGUAAUUCCAGCUACUCGGGAAGCUGAGGCAGGAGAAUCGCUUGAACCCAGGAGGUGGAGGCUGCAGUGAGCCAAGAUCGCACCAUUGCACUCCAUCCUGAGUGAUAGAGCAAGACUCUGACUCAAAAAGAAAAAUUUAAAAAUUAAGAAAAAAAAAGGAGAAUAUUUGAAAAUGAGAGAGUUCACUAGAAAACACUGUGAAGCAGUGUCGAGGAUCCAAAUGACAUGGGUGGACAUGAAAACGACAUGCCCCGUUUUGUGAAAUUUUCCAGCAAUACUCAGCAGCCUGGUUCUGAGCUCACGAGAAGGUCCAGGCUCAUUCCACUGAUGGAAGGUUACCAAGGAUGUGGAUAGGACAAUUGAACAAGAGAGUCAAGAACUGUAGUUCUUCAAUGUUGCCGAACAAAUUACAUCCAAAUUUAGCAGCUUAAAACAACAAGCAUUUAUCAUCGCACACAGUCUCUGAGGGUUGGGAAUCCUGGAGCAGCUAAGCUGGACAGCUCCUGCUCAAGGUCUGUCACAGGGAUAGGGUCCUCUUCAGGCUUGCCGGGGUGGAGGACCAGCUCCCAAGCUCACUGGCAUGGUUGUCAGCAGGCUCAGGUUUAUUGCUGAUUACUGGCAGGAGGCCUUGCCACUGGGCUCUCCAUAGGACUGCUUACAACAUGGUACCGAGCUUCUCCCAGAGUGAAAAUCUAACGGAGAAAAAGAGAGAGCGCCAGCCUAAGAUGGUGGCAUUUCAUAGCACAACACAUCAUCUCAAAACUUUUACUUGCCUUUGCCCAUCGCCCAUCAGCUUCCUGAAAGGGGGGACUGAGUGUGUCUGUCUUGUCCACUGCUGUACCCUUAGAGGAGUGCUAGGCACAUAGCAGACGAUCGAGUUUUUUUUUCUUUAUCUCGGCUCACUGCAACCUCUACGUCCUGGGUUCAAGUGAUUCUCCUGCCUCAGCCUCAUAAGUAGCUGGGAAUACAGGUGCAUGCCACCACGCCCAGCUAAUUUUUGUAUUUUUAGUAGAGACGGGGUUUCACCAUGUUGGCCAGGCUGGUCUCAAACUCCUGACCUUGUGAUCCACCUACCUCGGCCUCCCAAAGUGUUGGGAUUAUAGGCGUGAGCCACUGGGACUUGUUGUUGCUGUUUUUUUUUUUUGUUGUUGUUGUUGUUUUUGAGACAGGGUCUCACUCUGUUGCCCAGGCUGGAGUGCAGAGGCAUGAUCAUAGCUCACUGCUGCCUCAAACUCCUGGGCUCAAGCGAUCCUCCCACCUCAGCCUCCUGAGUAGCUGGGAUUACAGGUGUGAACCCUGAAAAUCUGAGACAGGUUCCAGUAAACUUAGAAAGUUUAUUUUGCCAAGGUUGAGGAUGCACACCCGUGACACAGCCUCUUAAACUGAACCUUGGGAGUUCCUGACACCGUGUGGCCAAGGUGGUAGGGGGAGAGUUUGGUUUUCUACAUUUUAGGAGACAUGAGACCUCAAUCAAUAUGUGUAAGAUGAACAUCGGUUCAGUCUGGAAAGGCUGGACAAAGCGGGACAACUCCAAGCAAGGAGGGGCUUCAAGUCACAGUAGAUGGGAGACAAACAGUUGCAUUCUUCUGAGUUUCUGAUGAGCCUCUCCAAAGGAGGCAAUCAGAUAUGCAUCUAUCUCAGUGAGCAGAGGGGUGACUUUGAAUAGAAUAGGGGGCAGGUUGCCCUGCUUGACUUUUCCCUUUAGCUUAGUCAUUUUGGGACCACGAGAUGUAUUUUCCCUUCACACAGGCAUGAGCCAUUGUGCCCAGCUCUAAAAUACAUCUUUAAGUAAAUGAAUGAAAUGAGUGAGUGAAACCCACCGGAGAAAACUGUAGCUACACUCAGUGAAAAACUUUCUUUUUGAGGGAGGGGCAGAUCUUCCAUGGGCUGGAUUAUAAAUUUUUAUAGGUGACCGGGUGCAGUGGCUCACAUCUGUAAUCCUGGCAGUUUGUGAGGCCGACACAGGCAUUUCACUUGAGGCCAGGAGUUUGAGACCAGCCUGGACAACAUGGGGAAACCCUGUCUCUACUAAAAAUACAAAAAUUAGCCAGGCGUGGUGGCGCGCCUGUGGUCCCAGCUACCCAGGAGGCGGAGGUGGUGUCAGAGGUGUUUGAACCAGAGCAACUGCAUCUUGAAUAGGGGCUGCGUAAAAUGAGGCUGAGACCUACUGGGCUGCAUCCCCAGCCUGUUAGGCAUUCUAAGUCACAGGAUGAGAUAGGAGGUUGGCAAAAAAUACAAGUCAUAUGCUGGCCGGGCGCAGUGGCUCACACCUGUAAUCCCAGCACUUUGGGAGGCCAAGGCAAGCGGAUCACCUGAGGUUGGGAGUUCGAGACCAGCCUGACCAACAUGGUGAAACCCUGUCUCUACUAAAAUGCAAAAAAUUAGCUGGGUGUGGUGGUCGCGCCUGUAGUCCCAGCUACUCAGGAGGCUGAGGCAGGAUAAUUGCUUGAACCCUGGAGGCGGAGGUUGCAGUGAGCCGACAUCCCACCACUGCACUCCAGCCUGGGUGACAGAGCAAGACUCUGUCUCAAAAAAAAAAAAAAAAAAGAUACAGGUCAUAAAGACCUUGCUGAUAAAACAAGUUGCAGUAAGAAGCCGGCCAAAUCCCACCGAACCCAAGAUGGCCAUGAGAGUGACCUCUGGUCGUCCUCACUGCUACACUCCUGUUAGCUCCAAGACAGUUUACAAAUGCCACGGCAACAUCAGGAAGUUACCCUCUGUGGUCUAAAAAGGGGAAGCAUGAAUAAUCCACCCCUCGUUUAGCAUAUCAUCAAGAAAUAACAAUGACAAUGGGCAACCCGCAGCCCUCGCGGCUGCUCUCUCUCUGGAGUAGCCAUUCUUUUAUUCCUUUACUUUUCCUGAUAAACUUGCUUUCACUUUACAGACUUGCCCUGAAUUAUUUGUUGCACGAGAUCAAAGAACCCUCUCUUGGGGUCUGGGUCGGGACCGCUUUUCAGUAACAUCUUUCUGGUGAUCACGGAAGAGACUAUAGUGUGGAAACACCCGACCCAAAGGCUAACUUUGAGCCCGGUGUGGUGGCACGCACCUGUAAUCCCAGCUACUCAGGAGGCUGAGGCAGGAGAAUCGCUUGAACCCCAGCGACAGAGGUUGCAGUGAGCUGAGAUCGCACCACUGCACUCCAGCCUGAGCGACAGAGCAAGACUCUGUCUCAAAAACAACAACAACAAACAACAACAACAAAAAACCAAAGGCUAACUUUGGGUAAGUGAUGGGGUUCAGUAACAUCUUUCUGGCAAAUCAUGGAAGGGACGAUACUGAAGAAACCCCCGACCCAAAGGAAAUAGACUGGAGCACUGAUUGGCCGACUUUGGGUAAGUGGUGGAGUACUCUGGUAAAGGGUGGGAUGGGAUUAGAGGCCCAAUUUAGGGGAAUUAGAGUCUCUCCUAAGACAGAGUGGGAUAGAGGCCCCUCUUAAUAAAAGGCAAGGACACGGUGAAACCCCGUCUCUACUAAAAAUACAAAAAAUUAGCCGGGCGUGGUGGCAGGUGCCUGUAAUUCCAGCUACUCAGGAGGCAGGAGAAUCGCUUGAACCCAGGAAGCAGAAGUUGCAGUGAGCCGAGAUUGCACCACUGCACUCCAGCCUGGGCAACAAAAGCAAAAUUCGGCCUCCAAAAAACAAAAAAAAAACAAAAGGCAAGGACGCUUGACCGACCUUGGGUUAGAAGCCCAACUUAGGAGGGUUGGAGUCCCUUCCAAGAUUUAGGGGGUUAGAGGCCCCUCUCAGUAAAGUCCCUUUCAGCUAAGAACGGGUUUGGCACUAUGGGAUGUUAACUGCUGUUCUCUUUAGAUUAAUCUGCCUUGCACUCUUUGCUGAUGGCUGUGGGUGACAGCAUUAAGCGUGUACAGGAUCGUGGGACAUAGGGAGCUUUUUUCUCCCUAAAAGGGGAAACUUGAGAGCUGAUGGGACUUCUGGAAAAGAUCCCUUCACGACCGACAAGCAGCCGCCUGGACUUUUCAGUGUCACUGCAAUGGGUGGGUCUUUCUCUGGCCUCCCCGAGCACCUCACCUUCCUCACCUUCCUCACCUUCCCCACCCUGCCUCAGGCAAUGCAUUCCUCUCUCUCUGUGCAAAUGGGUUAAAUGGUAAAAAUCACUGUUUAUCUCCUCUAUGAAGUUUUGAUGAAUGGAAGAAAGGAUUUGCGAGGCUAAUCUUAAACUGUAGUGAAUCUGGUGUGCUUUGCCUGUCUUUCUGUGUUCUGUGAUGGAGAGGAGUAUCUUAGGACAGAAUGAGGGCCUAGGACACCUAUAAGCCCGCUGUUCAGAGACGGCCCAGCACACUGGUCAGUUAAAAACUUCGGCCGGGUGCGGUGGCUCACGCCUGUAAUCCCAGCACUUUGGGAGGCUGAGGCGGGCAAAUCACAAGGUCAGGAGUUCGAGACCAGCCUGACCAACAUGGUGAAACUCCGUCUCUACUAAAAAUACAAAAAUUAGCUGGGCGUGGUGGUGAGCGCCUGUAAUCCCAGCUACUCAGGAGGCUGAGGCAGGAGAACCGCUUGAAUUCAGGAGAUGGAGGUUGCAGUGAGCCGAGAUCACGCCGCUGCACUCCAGCCUGGGCGACAGAGUGGGAUUCCGUCUCAAAACAAACAAACAAACAAAAACUUUGCUGCAGGUCCCUGAAAAAAACUGGAUGAGGUUCCCUUCUUGUCUUGUAUGUCCUUGGGAGCUCGACCUUGUAACCAUGUGGCUGUGCUUUCUCUUUCCACAGUGGCAGCCUGGGUUCAGGGUCCAAUUCCUGGCUUGAGGAAUGAGUCCUUUAUCUUCUGUCUGUCUGCGUAUUUAUGUGUGUCGUGUGUGUGACGUUUACAUAUAAAAGAGCUUGGGUUGAUUGGCUUAAAAACAAGUGCUUAAAUCAAAUAUUUUGACAGAAAAGUAUAAAGUAUAAUGCCUUUUAGUUCAUGUGACUUAAGUAAUCUUUGGGAAACAGUUUUAAAGAUUAUUGGUAAAAUAAAAAUAUCUUCAAAAAUGUAAAUAUUUGGUCUAACUUAUGCAGGUCAGAUGUUUGCUAAAUGCUUUGAGGUUAUAAACUGCUUCUUUGACUUUUGGAAAUUGUUCAGUUUACCUACCUUGCUGUGUAUGAACAUAUUGGCUAAAGUUGGGUAUUAUUCAGUUUUUGCAUAAAUUAAACAUUGGAAAAAAACACAACAGGUUUUUCCUGAAGCAAAAAUCUGCUUAUGAUCUGCUCUUUAACAAAAAUUGUAAAGGGUUAUAAAAAGUUUAUGAGAAUCUUACCUUAGGGUCAAACAUUAAAAUUGGGUAAAUGUGUCUAUAGGGUUUUAUUAAGAAUUGGGUUUGGCUGGGUGCAGUGAAUCACGCCUGUAAUCCCAACACUUUGAGAAGCCAAGGCGGGAGGAUCACUUGAGGUCAGGAGUUCAAGACCAGCCUGGCCAACAUGGUGAAACCCCAUCUCUACUAAAAAUACAAAAAAUUAGCUGGGCACGGUGGCACGUGCCUGUAAUCCCAGUUACUCGGGAGGCUGAGGCAAGAGAAACGCUUGAACCUAGGAGGUGGAGGUUGCAGUGAGCCAAGAUUGCACCACUGCACUCCAGCCUGGGCAACAGAGCCAGACUCUGUCUCAAAAAGGGGAAAAAAAAAGAAUUGGGUUUAACAUUAAUAGUACACUAAUGUAAAGGUGAAAUUCGGCUUAUUUGGUACAAAACUCAUACAGGAAACAUUGUCAAAUAUGAAACGGUGUUUGCUUUUCUUUGGGCUGUAUUUGUAUAAAUGUGUUAUUGGCAUAUGUUCCAAAAUAAUAGGAAAUUCCUAUAAUUCUGAUAUGACUUAGUAUAUGUUAUUAAUAAUUAUAAUUGUUACAGAAAAUCAUUGUAUGCCACAGAGGUAACCAAAAAACCAAAGUCUUAUCUAAGAUUUCUUCUAUGGAACAGAGUUCCAUCAAAGCCAAUUUAAAAACAGC
rnacentral:lncRNA from 1 species